AGAAACUGAAAAAGAGCUGUCAUGUGUGUUCAUGAAGUCAGCGUUCUUAUAUUUAAAAAUGGGGAGGGGCAGUCUGGCUCAGGGCGCUCGGCCACAGGCUGGAAACAAGGUUGGGCAGGGAGCUCUAAUCCUGGAUUUAUUGCCAGCUUGCUGGGUGACCUGGGCCACACGACCUAACCUCAAUUAAAUGUCUUCAGGAGCCUGGACACUCGGUAAGCCUUAGAGCAGGAGGACCUGGAAGGCCAUUUUGUAGAUGAAGAAAAGAGUCCCAGAGAGGUGAAAUUAUUUUCCUGAGCUCGCAGAGGUGGUAAAUGGCCAACUCAAGCCCUGUGGCACCCAAGUUCAGCAGUUUUCUUUUUUCACAUUGUCUUUGUAAAAUGUAAAAUGCAUAUAAAAUGAA